GUUCUGUUCAAUUUGGGUGCCGUUUACAGCCAGAUUGGCCUCUCCUUCGAUCGCGCUACUGUUGAGGGGCGUCGCCAGGCCUCGCACGCGUUUAUUGCAGCGGCUGGGGCGUUCGCCUUCUUGAGAGACAAUGCGUCCACCAAAGCGUCGAUUGGUAGCUCUACGACUGUGGAUGUUUCGGUCGAGUGUGUCGGCAUGUUGGAGAGGCUGAUGUUAGCGCAGGCUCAGGAGUGCGUCUUUGAGAAUACGAUUGCGAAAGGCAGUACGCCUGGUGUCUGCGCGAAGAUCUCUCGGCAGGUUGGUUUGUACUACGAGGAAGCUUUAGCAGCCCUCAAUGCUCCACCUCUUAACCAGCAUUUUGAC
rnacentral:misc_RNA from 1 species